rnacentral:lncRNA from 1 species
ACUUUCUGGGCAGCUACAGGGAGGAGGGAAAAGAAUUCUAGGCAGAGACUCAAGCACGUGCAAAGGCACUGAGGUGUGAGACGGCAGGACAUGACGUGCAAAGGCACUGAGGUGUGAGACGGCAGGAUGUGACCGGGAAUCAAAACUCUAGCUGGUGUGGUGCGGAGCAACAGGCAGGGAGUUUUAAAUCUACAAGUGACCUGUAGCUCUUUGAGUUGUUUGGGGGCCUUGAAUAAUUUAGAUAAUUGCCACACAUUCUCCUUUGGCUUCACAUCAAAGUCACCCCUUCUUGGCAACUCCUGAAGUGGCUGAGGACGCUGGCUCAGGGCCACUUACCACCACCCCAGCUGGAUGGCAGCAGGCCUGCUGCGGCCUCUGACGGCAGUGCCCUGAAGGUACUAACCACAUUCCAGCCCUGGCUGCUCUCUGGUGCCGACAACCCCCCCAGGGCCUCCACACCAGGGAGGGACAGCGAUUUUAAAGGAGAAGGUAAUUGGCUUUGUUUGGUGAGACUUCGCAUAAUAGGCUGUGCUCGUCACUUUAAAUAUUAUCGCAUUUGAGUCCCGCAGUCAGCUCAAGUGGAGGGCCUUGUCCGUCUGGCUUGUAGAAGAAACUUGGCCUUGUAAGGUUCCACCUGGCUCGUUCUGGGUCACAAGCCUGGCCAAUGUUCCCUCCUCAGUCUGGCUUUUAGAUUUCAAUUAGAUUCAAAAUUGAGAGGCUUCAUUGCUCAUAUGGGCACGUCUCAUAUUCCUUAAGUUUUAGGAGAAACUGAAACCCACCCUUGAGCCCAUGGGUGGGCCUUUGGUUUUUCCUAGUCACCCCCCCCCCCCCAGGGACCUGGCUGGCACAACCAUCUCUUGUGGCCUCUUUGCUUGGUCAAGUCAUGUUACCUCUGUGGCCCCUUCCUGGCUAAGGAGCUCUGGUGACAGAAAUGGUAGGUAGCUCCUUCUGUUUUUUUUCAUCCUGGCCUUUAACCCACAGAAGUCACAACUGGCUUUUGGACGAGGCUUCCCCAGAAGAAAGGGAGGAAGGACAAGCACAGCAGUGGUUUGGCUGCAACAUUCAAAGACCUGAAAAUAUGGAAGCAGGCUCUGGGGAAGAGGAGCACUGAGAAUAGCAGCCGUGAAUACGGGAAGUGCUGAGCCCAGGGCUCUUUGGAGGAGCUGUGGCUUCGUUCUGGAGCCUGUUAGUCUCUACGAAGAGGACACUCAGUUCCGAACUGCCCCCCCGGGGCCGGCCUGCAAGGUGGCAAGGGUCACCCAGCUGGUUCUCUCAGUCUUUUGCCCAAUAUCUUCAAUCCAGACUUGUCUGUCUCCGCUCACUAUAUUUUGCACAUCUUAAGGGGCCAUGAAAGAAAAGUUCAUGUUAAUCAUACUGAAGAUGUGUUCACUCGGCAUGAUUUAUUGAGAACUGAUGUGUGCCCCGUUCUCGAAUUCAAGGAUGAACUGGAACUCACUGCCUGAUGUCAUUAUAUGGUAUCGUGUGACCAGCAGCAUAAAGAGGCACAUACACAGAGCUCUGGAGCCCAGAGAGGAGAGAGGCUGAGGGCCCUGAAAGAGCCAAGAUCAUCUUUCCAAUGGGUUUGCAAAGCGUGCACGUGAACUUGACCAAGAGGAAAGCAAAGGGCGGGUGAGGCAGAAGGGCUGCAUGUUCUGGGAGGAGAUGAAGAGUUGGGCACAACGGGGGAAGAGUCAGGAGUGGACAAAGGUGAAGCCAGGAAGAUACAGGGGCAUGGACAGCAGGCUUGGGAACUUGAAUUUUACGCCAUAAUAGUGGAUGGUUUUUAUGCAAAUGUUAGAUGGGAUCUUAGUACUAUAUUUCAGAAUACUAAAUUUAUGAUAGGUAUGAUAAAUAAUAACAUUAAUUACAAAUGAUGAUGGUGACGGAAAUACAAAUAGCAAGUCUCUUCAUCAUAUGUCAGUGGUGAUGGGAUGUCACUCCCAUGAUUAGGUGGUAUAUAUAAACAUCCGUCUUAGUGAACUAGAGGCAGAGAUUCUUCUGCUAGCCCCGAGGAAACAAACUACCAUAUUGUGAACUGCCUGUGGAGAGGGCCACGUGCCAGGGAUCUGGGGGCAGAUUCUGGGAUCUGUGUUGGCCUCCAGCCAACAAAGGCUAGGGUCCUCAGUCACACACUGCCAAGGAAAUGAAUUCUGUCAACCAUCUGAAUGGGCUUGGAAGCAAAACCUUCUCCAGUCGAACCUCCAGAUGAGAACAUAACCCAGUCAGCACUUUGAGUGAAGCCUUGGAAGAUGCUAAGCAGAGCUGAGUCAUGCUGGGACCCAAGCAAACUGUCAUAGAAAUAAAUGCAUGUGUUUGUUUUAAGCUGCUGGUUUU